rnacentral:sRNA from 1 species
GCCGGGUGGGUGGCACCCACCUGUAAUCCCAGCAACUCCGGGGGCUGAGGCAGGUGGAUGGAAAGUUUGAAGCCAGCUUUAGCAACUUAGCAAUGUACUAAGUAAUUUAGUGAGACCCUGUCUCAA